CCUCUGGUAGCUCAGUUGGUAGAGAGGUGGACUGUAGAUCCAUAGGUCGCUGGUUCAAAUCCGGCCCAGAGGA
rnacentral:tRNA from 1 species